rnacentral:rRNA from 1 species
GUGUCAGCCGCCGCGGUAAUACAGGGGGGGCGAGCGUUGUUCGGAAUUACUGGGCGUAAAGGGUUCGUAGGUGGCUAGCUAAGUCAGACGUGAAAUCCCUCAGCUUAACUGGGGAACUGCGUCUGAUACUGGUCGGCUUGAGUGCAGGAGAGGAACGCGGAAUUCCAGGUGUAGCGGUGAAAUGCGUAGAUAUCUGGAGGAACACCGGUGGCGAAGGCGGCGUUCUGGACUGCAACUGACACUGAGGAACGAAAGCCAGGGGAGCAAACGGGAUUAGAAACCCCAGUAGUCC